AUUCCAAUGCUGAUCCGAGCCAACAACGAAAUGUUAAAGUUUGAGAAUAAUUGCGGCCAUGUGUAAAUUGUUUGUGGGCAUGGAUGUGUGUGUUUUAGUGGAAGUGGAAGCGUGGAAUGCGGCCUGAGUCA
rnacentral:snoRNA from 1 species